GGUAUGGCUGCAGACCCGGAGGCAGCAGAUCUGAGCAGCAGAUCUGAACCGCAGUUCUAGACGUGACAGAGCCCCCUACUGGAUUACUUUAUAACUGCAACUAAAUCAACAGUUCAGAUCGAGACUUCUCGUUUUUUUCCGGCAGCGUGCUGUUUUCUCCUUUUCUCAAGAUGGAUGACGACCGGAGUGUACACAUAACAAUCCAGAAAGGAAGGGCCUUGCCCCAACUUCACAGAUGCACAUCAUGCUGCAAUAACUACCACUGUCCAUUCUGCAGCCCUAUAGUUUACUACCCCUCCCCGUUGAACAAAUGUCAGAUACACAUGGAUCUUCAUUUUAACAGAGCUGUUAGCCAUGAAGAAUACACCAUUCACAGAUGUGGACUGGGAUGUCGGCCGCAGCUGCAUUAUCACUGUCCAUACUGCAGUUCAACAAUAAAACGGAAAGACGAUUUUAUUAAACAUAUACAUUGGUGCAAGAAGAAACCAGGUUCCAACCCUACAGUCCCACCAACCACCACCACCCCCCUGUCACCAACCACCACCAUCACCUCCCUGGCACCAUCCACCACCAC